UUAAGCGACUAAGCGUACACGGUGGAUGCCCUGGCAGUCAGAGGCGAUGAAGGACGUGCUAAUCUGCGAUAAGCGUCGGUAAGGUGAUAUGAACCGUUAUAACCGGCGAUUUCCGAAUGGGGAAACCCAGUGUGUUUCGACACACUAUCAUUAACUGAAUCCAUAGGUUAAUGAGGCGAACCGGGGGAACUGAAACAUCUAAGUACCCCGAGGAAAAGAAAUCAACCGAGAUUCCCCCAGUAGCGGCGAGCGAACGGGGAGGAGCCCAGAGCCUGAAUCAGUGUGUGUGUUAGUGGAAGCGUCUGGAAAGGCGCGCGAUACAGGGUGACAGCCCCGUACACAAAAAUGCACAUACUGUGAGCUCGAUGAGUAGGGCGGGACACGUGGUAUCCUGUCUGAAUAUGGGGGGACCAUCCUCCAAGGCUAAAUACUCCUGACUGACCGAUAGUGAACCAGUACCGUGAGGGAAAGGCGAAAAGAACCCCGGCGAGGGGAGUGAAAAAGAACCUGAAACCGUGUACGUACAAGCAGUGGGAGCACGCUUCGGCGUGUGACUGCGUACCUUUUGUAUAAUGGGUCAGCGACUUAUAUUCUGUAGCAAGGUUAACCGAAUAGGGGAGCCGAAGGGAAACCGAGUCUUAACUGGGCGUUAAGUUGCAGGGUAUAGACCCGAAACCCGGUGAUCUAGCCAUGGGCAGGUUGAAGGUUGGGUAACACUAACUGGAGGACCGAACCGACUAAUGUUGAAAAAUUAGCGGAUGACUUGUGGCUGGGGGUGAAAGGCCAAUCAAACCGGGAGAUAGCUGGUUCUCCCCGAAAGCUAUUUAGGUAGCGCCUCGUGAAUUCAUCUCCGGGGGUAGAGCACUGUUUCGGCAAGGGGGUCAUCCCGACUUACCAACCCGAUGCAAACUGCGAAUACCGGAGAAUGUUAUCACGGGAGACACACGGCGGGUGCUAACGUCCGUCGUGAAGAGGGAAACAACCCAGACCGCCAGCUAAGGUCCCAAAGUCAUGGUUAAGUGGGAAACGAUGUGGGAAGGCCCAGACAGCCAGGAUGUUGGCUUAGAAGCAGCCAUCAUUUAAAGAAAGCGUAAUAGCUCACUGGUCGAGUCGGCCUGCGCGGAAGAUGUAACGGGGCUAAACCAUGCACCGAAGCUGCGGCAGCGACGCUUAUGCGUUGUUGGGUAGGGGAGCGUUCUGUAAGCCUGUGAAGGUGUACUGUGAGGUAUGCUGGAGGUAUCAGAAGUGCGAAUGCUGACAUAAGUAACGAUAAAGCGGGUGAAAAGCCCGCUCGCCGGAAGACCAAGGGUUCCUGUCCAACGUUAAUCGGGGCAGGGUGAGUCGACCCCUAAGGCGAGGCCGAAAGGCGUAGUCGAUGGGAAACAGGUUAAUAUUCCUGUACUUGGUGUUACUGCGAAGGGGGGACGGAGAAGGCUAUGUUGGCCGGGCGACGGUUGUCCCGGUUUAAGCGUGUAGGCUGGUUUUCCAGGCAAAUCCGGAAAAUCAAGGCUGAGGCGUGAUGACGAGGCACUACGGUGCUGAAGCAACAAAUGCCCUGCUUCCAGGAAAAGCCUCUAAGCAUCAGGUAACAUCAAAUCGUACCCCAAACCGACACAGGUGGUCAGGUAGAGAAUACCAAGGCGCUUGAGAGAACUCGGGUGAAGGAACUAGGCAAAAUGGUGCCGUAACUUCGGGAGAAGGCACGCUGAUAUGUAGGUGAAGUCCCUCGCGGAUGGAGCUGAAAUCAGUCGAAGAUACCAGCUGGCUGCAACUGUUUAUUAAAAACACAGCACUGUGCAAACACGAAAGUGGACGUAUACGGUGUGACGCCUGCCCGGUGCCGGAAGGUUAAUUGAUGGGGUCAGCGCAAGCGAAGCUCUUGAUCGAAGCCCCGGUAAACGGCGGCCGUAACUAUAACGGUCCUAAGGUAGCGAAAUUCCUUGUCGGGUAAGUUCCGACCUGCACGAAUGGCGUAAUGAUGGCCAGGCUGUCUCCACCCGAGACUCAGUGAAAUUGAACUCGCUGUGAAGAUGCAGUGUACCCGCGGCAAGACGGAAAGACCCCGUGAACCUUUACUAUAGCUUGACACUGAACAUUGAGCCUUGAUGUGUAGGAUAGGUGGGAGGCUUUGAAGUGUGGACGCCAGUCUGCAUGGAGCCGACCUUGAAAUACCACCCUUUAAUGUUUGAUGUUCUAACGUUGACCCGUAAUCCGGGUUGCGGACAGUGUCUGGUGGGUAGUUUGACUGGGGCGGUCUCCUCCUAAAGAGUAACGGAGGAGCACGAAGGUUGGCUAAUCCUGGUCGGACAUCAGGAGGUUAGUGCAAUGGCAUAAGCCAGCUUGACUGCGAGCGUGACGGCGCGAGCAGGUGCGAAAGCAGGUCAUAGUGAUCCGGUGGUUCUGAAUGGAAGGGCCAUCGCUCAACGGAUAAAAGGUACUCCGGGGAUAACAGGCUGAUACCGCCCAAGAGUUCAUAUCGACGGCGGUGUUUGGCACCUCGAUGUCGGCUCAUCACAUCCUGGGGCUGAAGUAGGUCCCAAGGGUAUGGCUGUUCGCCAUUUAAAGUGGUACGCGAGCUGGGUUUAGAACGUCGUGAGACAGUUCGGUCCCUAUCUGCCGUGGGCGCUGGAGAACUGAGGGGGGCUGCUCCUAGUACGAGAGGACCGGAGUGGACGCAUCACUGGUGUUCGGGUUGUCAUGCCAAUGGCACUGCCCGGUAGCUAAAUGCGGAAGAGAUAAGUGCUGAAAGCAUCUAAGCACGAAACUUGCCCCGAGAUGAGUUCUCCCUGACUCCUUGAGAGUCCUGAAGGAACGUUGAAGACGACGACGUUGAUAGGCCGGGUGUGUAAGCGCAGCGAUGCGUUGAGCUAACCGGUACUAAUGAACCGUGAGGCUUAACCUU
rnacentral:rRNA from 1 species